rnacentral:rRNA from 1 species
AUGUAUAAGUACACGCCUUAACAAGGUGAAACCGCGAACGGCUCAUUACAACAGCUAUAAUCUACUCGGUCUUGAUCAGUUACUCGGAUAACUGUGGUAAUUCUAGAGCUAAUACGUGCACCGAGGCUGCCCCUUGCGGGGCAGUGCAUUUGUUGGAGCAAAACCAGGCGACUUCGGUCGUUUUUGCUGACUCAUAACAACUUAGCUGAUCGCAUGGGCUUGUCCCGGCGACGUACCGUCCGAGUGUCUGCCUUAUCAACUUUCGAUGGUAGUGUAUGUGACUACCAUGGUUGUGACGGGUAACGGAGGAUAAGGGUUCGACUCCGGAGAAGGGGCCUGAGAAAUGGCCACUACGUCUAAGGAUGGCAGCAGGCGCGCAAAUUACCCACUCUCGGUUCGAGGAGGUAGUGACGAAAAAUAACAAGGCUGUUCUCUACGAGGCCAGCCAUUGGAAUGGGUACAACACAAACCCUUUAACGAGUAUCAAUGAGAGGGCAAGUCUGGUGCCAGCAGCCGCGGUAAUUCCAGCUCUCAAAAUGCAUAGAACCAUUGCUGCGGUUAAAAAGCUCGUAGUUGGAUCUGUCCCGGCGACGUGGUCCACCCUAACGGGCGGUACUGCGCUCGUCGGCUUUGGGCCGGUCUUCGUGCGGUGGCCUUAACUGGUCGUCGUGCGUGGCUGGCUGGUUUACUUUGAGCAAAUCAGAGUGCUCAGCACAGGCGUUUCGCCGGAAUGUUCGUGCAUGGAAUAAUAGAAAAGGAUAUCGGUCCUCUUUUAUUGGUUUUGUGUACUGAGAUUAUGGUUAACAGAGACGAUCGAUGGGCAUUCGUAUUGCUGCGUGAUAGUUGAAAUUCUUGGAACGCAGCAUGACUGACUACAGCGAAAGCAUUUGCCAAGCGCGUCUUCAUUAAUCAAGAACGAAAGUCAGAGGUUCGAAGGCGAUCAAAGACCGCCCUAGGUCUGACCGUAAACGAUGCCAACUAGCGAUCCGCCGGUGGCUACAAGGCCCUGGUGGGGAGCUUCCCGGAAACGAAAGUCUUCCGGUUCCGGGGGAAGUAUGGUUGCAAAGCUGAAACUUAAAGGAAUUGACGGAAGGGCACCACCAGGAGUGGAGCCUGCGGCUUAAUUUGACUCAACACGGGAAAACUCACCCGGCCCGGACACCGUGAGGAUUGACAGAUUGAUAGCUUUUUCAUGAUUCGGUGGUUGGUGGUGCAUGGCCGUUCUUAGUUCGUGGAUCGAUUUGUCUGGUUUAUUCCGAUAACGAGCGAGACUCCAGCCUACUAACUAGUGCGGGCAUUGCCUCUGUGCUUGUCACUUCUUAGAGGGAUUGGCUGCGUCUAGCGGCACGAAACGGAGCAAUAACAGGUCUGUGAUGCCCUUAGAUGUCCGGGGCUGCACGCGCGCUACACUGGCAAAGGCAGCGUGCUUGUCCGCCUCCGAAAGGAGCCGGUAAACCCUUGAAAAUUUGCCGUGAUUGGGAUCGGAAAUUGCAAUUAUUUUCCGUGAACGAGGAAUUCCUAGUAAGUGCGAGUCAUCAGCUCGCGUUGAUUACGUCCCUGCCCUUUGUACACACCGCCCGUCGCUGCCUAGAACUGAGCCAUUUCGAGAAUAUUCGGGAUCGCUGGUUGCGAGUCCUUCGGGGCACGCCUCUGGCAAGAGAACGAACGUAAUCGCAGUGGCUUGAACCGGGCAAAAGUCGUAACAAGGUAGCUGUAGGUGAACCUGCUGCUGGAUCAUUACCUUGUCUGAUACGACACGCGUUGAUGAAAAUCAAACAAAACUCGGGGCCGCCUCUGCCCCUUGCGGAAUAGUCUACUGGGCGCCCAGACACUCGGGCACUUGAGCAAGCAGCCUUCCGUUACAGGCUCUCGCUCGGCUCCAUGCCCGGUAGGCGAAAACGGCUUUGCUGGAUCCUAUGCAACGCGGAGCAGUUGUGCCGCUAAAGUCCGUGGCUGCCGUGAUGUGUUGCGAUAGACCCGACCACCCGCGUCUGGUGGUCUGAGGAGUAGGAUUAAUGAGUACCUGAAGCGGUGCCGCCAGCGAAACAUUUUUUCACGACAAUUUUUUACGAGACAGAAAGCUAUAUUAGUCUUGCCGGUGGAUCCUUCCGGCUCGUAGCCGCCCCGGGUCUUUUUUUCUCAAACCUUGUUCUCAUAACGAGACAACGAAUGUGGUGAACGUAGCCGGCCUGACCGGU